UUUGAGUUAAAAUGAAUUAUUCAUUAAUUAGUUAUUAAGGUUUAAAUCUACUAUAAGAAUUACUUGGGAUUAUUUAGGGUUUGGUUAGGAUAUGUUUAAGAUUUGAUUAGGAUUUGGUUAAGAUUUAUUUAGGAUUUAUUUAGGAUUUGAUUAAAAUUUGUUUAGGAUUUGUUUAGGAUUUGAUUAAGAUUUUUUUAGGAUUUGAUUAGAAUUUGAUUAAUAUUUAUUUAAGAUUUGAUUAGGAUUUAUUUAAGGUUUGGUUAGGAUUUGUUUCGUAUUUGGAUAGGAUUUGAUUAGGAUUUAUUUAGGAUUUGACUAGGAUUUAUUUAGGAUUUUAUUAAGAUUUUUUUAGAGUUUGAUUAGGAUUUAUUUAGGAUUUAUUUAAGAUCAAUUUAAUCUCUAAAAAUAUAUUUUUUUCUUUACAUUAUUUUUUUGAAAUUUUGAUUGAAUUUGAUUAAUGUUUGACUAUAUUUGCUAAUCUUUAAUUAUAAU
rnacentral:lncRNA from 1 species